CGUGUAGGCGGAUUGGUCAGUCAGAUGUGAAAGAUCCCGGCUUAACCGGGGGGCUGCAUUUGAUACUGCCGAUCUUGAGUGUCGCAGGGGAUGAUGGAAUUCCUGGUGUAGCGGUGAAAUGCGUAGAGAUCAGGAAGAACACCGGUGGCGAAGGCGGUCAUCUGGGCGCGCACUGACGCGGAGGCGUGAAAGCGUGGGGAGCAAACA
rnacentral:rRNA from 1 species